rnacentral:rRNA from 1 species
AGUCGAGCGGAGUUGAUAGGAAGCUUGCUUCUCUGAUACUUAGCGGCGGACGGGUGAGUAACACGUAGGCAACCUGCCCUCAAGUUUGGGACAACUACCGGAAACGGUAGCUAAUACCGAAUAAUUGUUUUCUUCGCCUGAAGGAAACUGGAAAGACGGAGCAAUCUGUCACUUGGGGAUGGGCCUGCGGCGCAUUAGCUAGUUGGUGAGGUAACGGCUCACCAAGGCGACGAUGCGUAGCCGACCUGAGAGGGUGAUCGGCCACACUGGGACUGAGACACGGCCCAGACUCCUACGGGAGGCAGCAGU